UUUAGCAAGUCAGCUGAAGAUCCAGAAGCCAGAGACACAUGCCUCGGUGGCUGAUUUUAAACUAGUUCAGCUCUGGGUCUGCAGAGCUCAGGGGCCUACAACCCGAGGAGACAGCCUCAGAUGAAAUAGAAUGGUGUGUGGCACAUAGUAAAGUGCUCAAUAAAUGCUAGUAAUGAAGAAGAAGGAGGAGGGGCAGAAGAAGGAAGAAAAAGAGGAG